AGCCUUUGUGUUGCCCGUUCACCUUUGCUCACUAGUGAAUGUGGUGUCAAAAAAGGCAUAAAGCAAUGCCUUGCAGCCCUUUUUCUUACCCGGGAGUUUGGCGCCUUGGGUGUGGAGGCUGCGUAAGGCACAAAG